rnacentral:tRNA from 1 species
GAGGGUAUAGCUCAGUGGUAGAGUACAUGCUUAGCAUGCAGAAGGUACUGGGUUCAAUCCCCAGUACCUCCA